AGAAUUUUAAGAAAUGUAUUUCUAAUGGUGGAAUAUCUAUUUAAUGAGACUACACAGAAUUUCAAACAUGCAUUAGUUAUUUUUCAACACCACUUUAUCAACUAUCAGAAUUUUUUUUCUUCUACAGAAUUCUUUAGUAAAUUAAAACACGAGACUGAGUAAUACUUUUCCUGCUCAACACUUAUUGUGACCGGUGUAACUGGAUACUCCUACCGGACUUAGUGGCCUACCUGUAAGUACAGAUCGAAGGGUCUAACACACCGUAAGUGCGCGAGACUCGCAGAGCACCGAAUCUAAAGCGGAGCCCCAGCUAGCCUUGGCCAAUGUUAGAAAAUUAUCUCAAAAAGGAAACUCAAGGUUUUGUUUGUAAUAAGUCACGAUUUUGUAAUAUAUCAUAAAAUCAAGUAUCCAUAUAGGUAGAAGUGUUAAUGUUUUUGAUGUAUAAUACAAGUACUAUUCUGAAGGACAUAUCAAGGAAAGAUAGAAUGCAAAAUGCAUAAAUAGUAAAUGGAAAUCAUUAUCUAAACCUAAUUUCCAAUUUUCUUUGACCUAUUCUGGAUGACAUGGACACUGAAGAAAUGUGUUUCCAGCAAGACAGUGCUACUUGUCAUUGUGUGUCGAGCGAGUAGAGGAGGUUACAUGUAUGAUAUUAUAUUUCACUCUCAUACCACAAUUAGUAAUGAAACAAUCUAUAUCAUUAAUAAUGUAUUUCUUAUAAAAUAAAACUGAUUUACAGCUGAUUAAGCUGAUUUACAAAAA